rnacentral:rRNA from 1 species
CCCUUAGAUGUUCUGGGCCGCACGCGUGCUACACUGAUGCAUUCAACGAGUCUAAAACCUGGUCUGAUAGGGCUGGGUAAUCUUUUGAAAGUGCAUCGUGAUUGGGAUAGAUGAUUGCAAUUCUUCAUCUUCAACGAGGAAUGCCUAGUAAACGCAAGUCAUCAGCUUGCAUUGAUUACGUCCCUGCCCUUUGUACACACCGCCCGUCGCUCCUACCGAUUGAAUGAUCCGAUGAAUACCAUGGAUUGAGAGUACGAAUAGGUUCGCUUAUUUCUGCUGCUCGAGAAGUGGAGCAAAUCUUAUCAUUUAGAGGAAGGAGAAGUCGUAACA